ACAAACGCGUUGAUAAACACAGUACGUCGAAACUUGAGUGCCUAGAGAGUGUCAGGUUGGUGCAAUGACAUCACUACUUUUCGACCGAAAAUCAGUUUUGAGCGGCGAUGACGAUGGAUUCUUCCUAGUUGUCGUUGGGUGCUCCCAUUAUCGAGCCAGGGUAUCGCUAGCGACCGGUCACUAGCCGUACCUGUGAGGUGAUGAUAGUAAUAUCAUCGCAAAGCUAAGGUGGUAACGCGUUUUAAACGUCCUUGUU
rnacentral:ncRNA from 1 species